CGCUUAAUUUUAGUUUAGUUCUUGGAUGCUUUAUUCUUAACUUUUAGAACCUUGAUAUAUUUCUCUUUAUUUAAAUAGGUUGAUAGGGUUUAGGACCCCUCGUCUUACCCUACAAAAGGUAUUUUCCGUCAUCAACUUAAGUCCUAACCUUAUCAUCUUAGCGUGUAUAGAGGUUAGAACUCUUAAUUUUUAGACCACAUCUACCAUGCUCCCAUCCAAUAGAUGCAUGGUGAGCACACCCCAGACCCUAGA
rnacentral:lncRNA from 1 species